rnacentral:lncRNA from 1 species
AAGCCGCCACCGCCGCCGCUGCUGCAUGGCACUAGGCUCCCGGCGGGGCAGGUUCCGCAGCCGGCACCGCUCUGGCUAGGCGCACGGAGGCGCCUUGCUUAGUCUGACCCUUAUUUGGCCAGGCGUAAAACUUGUCCUGCCUAAAAGCCUACUGAGACCUCCUAACUGGUCUAAUCCGCGGGAGACGCCAAAGGCGGCGGCCGUUUGUGCGCACAGGAUUUUUCUUGGAGCUGUAGCAGUCUAGGAAGCCAGGGUGGAACUUUUGCUAAGCUCCCGUUGUAAGCCCAGAGCUGUAAUAACUGCUGAGACACAACCAGCAGUAUACAGGCUCCAGUUGGAAAUCGAGAACUUUCCAGGGCUGUCACCCAGGCUGGAGUGCAGUGGUGCCAUCACAGCUCACUGCAGCCUCGACCUCCUAGGCUAAAGUGAUCCUCCCAACUCAGCCUCCCGUAGCUGGGACUACAGGAAUGUGCCACGCCCAGGUCUAUCCAGCUGAAGUCAAAAAUGCCCCUCUCAGGCUGCCCCCAGUGACUCCAGUUUCCUAGCAGAGCCUAACCAGGUUAAGAAAUUUGUCCAUGGGUGCCUGAACCGAAAGUCAUAUUUCUUUUUACCACAAUGUGCUGCCUUAGAGGAACAAUUGCAUACAAUGGGAUCAAGUGCAUUGUAGGCUCUAUUUAUAACAUGCAUAUGAGAAAGAGAGCCCAUUGAGAUCUGCCUCAAGCUGAAGAUGAAAAGGGGGCCUCUGGAGUCGCUUGAUCGAGCAGAGUCUGAUAGAGUUAUCAGGCUUUUGCAGAUAGAAUGCCUACCACCGUAGGAUACAUUGUCAUAAUCAGUGUUUAGGCAAAACACCUGGACUUCUGCAAGGAC